CGAUGCAACGCGAAGACCUUACCUGGUCUUGACAUCCCGGAGACCCUUAGGAAACUAGGGGGUGCUUUCCAGUCUGGAAGAAUCUGGAGACAGGUGCUGCAUGGCUGUCGUCAGCUCGUGUCGUGAGAUGUUGGGUUAAGUCCCGCAACGAGCGCAACCCUUGCCUUUAGUUGCCAGCAGUUCGGCUGGGCACUCUAAAGGGACUGCCGGUGUUAAACCGGAGGAAGGUGGGGAUGACGUCAAGUCCUCAUGGCCUUUAUGACCAGGGCUACACACGUACUACAAUGGCCGAUACAAAGGGCAGCGACACUGCGAGGUGAAGCCAAUCCCGUAAAAUACGGUCUCAGUCCGGAUUGGAGUCUGCAACUCGACUCCAUGAAGUUGGAAUCGCUAGUAAUCGUGGAUCAGCAUGCCACGGUGAAUGCGUUCCCGGGCCUU
rnacentral:rRNA from 1 species